rnacentral:ribozyme from 1 species
CGAAAGUUUCUUGUUUUUUGGUUUCUGUUCCUUUAAUAUGUUUUCUUCUUCUUUCUCUCCCUCCCUGU